rnacentral:rRNA from 1 species
CCUACGGGUGGCUGCAGUCGAGGAUCUUCGGCAAUGGGCGCAAGCCUGACCGAGCGACGCCGCGUGCGGGAUGAAGGCCUUCGGGUUGUAAACCGCUGUCGUAGGGGAGGAAGGCCCGGUGAAGAGCCGGGUUUGACCUAUCCUAGGAGGAAGUGUGGGCUAAGUCCGUGCCAGCAGCCGCGGUAAGACGGACCACACAAACGUUAUUCGGAAUUACUGGGCUUAAAGGGUGCGUAGGCUGUGCAGAAAGUUGGGUGUGAAAGCCCUCGGCUCAACCGAGGAAGUGCGCCCAAAACUACUGUGCUGGAGGGAGACAGAGGUGAGCGGAACUUAGGGUGGAGCGGUGAAAUGCGUUGAUAUCCUAAGGAACACCGGUGGCGAAAGCGGCUCACUGGGUCUCUUCUGACGCUGAUGCACGAAAGCUAGGGUAGCGAACGGGA